rnacentral:rRNA from 1 species
UCACACACACAUGUGGGACUGUAGCACAGAGAGCUUGUUCUCGGGUGACGAGUGGCGGACGGGUGAGUAAUGUCUGGGGAUCUGCCCGAUAGAGGGGGAUAACCACUGGAAACGGUGGCUAAUACCGCAUAACGUCGCAAGACCAAAGAGGGGGACCUUCGGGCCUCUCACUAUCGGAUGAACCCAGAUGGGAUUAGCUAGUAGGCGGGGUAACGGCCCACCUAGGCGACGAUCCCUAGCUGGUCUGAGAGGAUGACCAGCCACACUGGAACUGAGACACGGUCCAGACUCCUACGGGAGGCAGCAGUGGGGAAUAUUGCACAAUGGGCGCAAGCCUGAUGCAGCCAUGCCGCGUGUAUGAAGAAGGCCUUCGGGUUGUAAAGUACUUUCAGCGGGGAGGAAGGCGAUGUGGUUAAUAACCGCAUUGAUUGACGUUACCCGCAGAAGAAGCACCGGCUAACUCCGUGCCAGCAGCCGCGGUAAUACGGAGGGUGCAAGCGUUAAUCGGAAUUACUGGGCGUAAAGCGCACGCAGGCGGUCUGUUAAGUCAGAUGUGAAAUCCCCGGGCUUAACCUGGGAACUGCAUUUGAAACUGGCAGGCUUGAGUCUCGUAGAGGGGGGUAGAAUUCCAGGUGUAGCGGUGAAAUGCGUAGAGAUCUGGAGGAAUACCGGUGGCGAAGGCGGCCCCCUGGACGAAGACUGACGCUCAGGUGCGAAA